CUUUAACAAUCUGGAACAAGCUGAAAAUUUGAAACACUCAGUAGUGUCAUAUUGACAAUACUGAUGAGUCUCUCAACACACUCCAGUCCGAAGACACCUUCGG
rnacentral:sRNA from 1 species